AGGCAGAAAAUGGAGAGUGAGAAGAGGAAAGAGGAGAGAAAACCAAGGCAAAGAUGGAGAGAAGAAGGUCUUCUUAACCUUGAUCAUUGUAUCAGAGAACUUUUAAUUAUCUGAGAAUGACCAGAAGACCCAUGGGAUCUGUCUGCAUUCUCGUGCAAGCAGACACAGAGGAACUUGGCCUCAGGAGUGAACAGCAAAGACACCAGCAGAGAUGCUUUCAGAUUAAGCACUUGAGUUCCACUUGUAAAAUGUUAAGAUUACAUUUGCUUUAUUGAAGAUAAAUUUUUCCCUCUUUUUUUUAAUUCUACUUUUUGAUGACUUUUGAGGUAAGGGAUUGAAAUAAAAAUGUCUUUACCAACUUUAA